GCUCUGCAACGGGAGAAGCAGCAGCCGCGACUCCGGGCGAGCAGCAGCAGUUCCAGGCGGCUGAGCGGGAUGGCGCGGCCGAAGGCCUUGCGCCGCUGGUCGCGACUCCAGCGAACAGCAGCAGACGGCGGCGACUCCAGGAGAAGCAGCAGCCGCUCCAGACGGCGGCGAUGGCUACCAGUCGACGGUGCUCGCCGGAAUCCAGUUGCAGCGGCGGCGGAUUCCUCGGCUGAAUACAGAUCGAGAGAGAGAACCGAAGGCAGCGUCUGAUUUAGGAGAGAUUAGAGAGAGAGAGAGGAUAAGGAGGAAGAAGGUAUGGCCACGCCGGACCUAGGCACGGCGGCAGCCGACGCCGGUCGGAGCAGAGAAGAAGCUCGACUGAUUUUGAGGAAGAAUUCGACUGUUUCAAGAGUAUAGAGAGAGGGAUUGAUUUUUGAGAG
rnacentral:lncRNA from 1 species